CGUAGGAGGCGAGCGUUAUCCGGAUUCACUGGGCGUAAAGCGCGUGCAGGCGGUUUGGUAAGUUGAUCGUGAAAGCUCCCGGCUCAACUGGGAGAGGUCGGUCAAUACUACCGAACUAGAGAGCAGAAGAGGAAGAUGGAAUUCCCGGUGUAGUGGUGAAAUGCGUAGAUAUCGGGAGGAACACCAGUGGCGAAGGCGAUCUUCUGGUCUGUUUCUGACGCUCAGACGCGACAGCUAGGGUAGUAAACGGGAUUAGAGACCCCGGUAAUCCUAGCCGCAAACGAUGUGAACUUGGCGUCGGUGGCUUAAACACCAUCGGUGCCGAAGCAAACGCGAUAAGUUCACCGCCUGGGGACUACGGCCGCAAGGUUA
rnacentral:rRNA from 1 species